AAGUUUCUUUCUGGUCUUUUGUGGAGGGAGCUAGUGGGGGCUUCUCGCCCAAGGUGGGGAACCAGCCCUGGGAGUGAGGACUUGACCCCCGCCCCCGUAGAUGGCAGGAAGGCACUUGGUAAACUCCCAGCAGCCGGGUAUGGGGGUGAAGGCAGCAUUCCUUCGCACCAAUAUUUGCUCCCGGGUCAGGCUCAGCCUGGGGUCUCCGGACGGGAGACGCUGGAAGCGGGGAAGGAAGGGAGCUGUAAAAAACCACAGCGCCUCUGCUGCCGGCGGGAAGGGGACAUUCCAGGGAAUGAGAUGCCCCUGACAGAGGCCGAAGAGCCAGACGCCCCUAGGAGACCAGACGAAGAGCAACGUGUAGCCCCACCCCCCGACCGAGCUGUCAGGAGGUUCUGCAUCUGAAAGAGAAAGACAGCUGGGGUUCCAGGUCUAGUGUGUUUCCACAGGCUCAGCCUGCAGCAGGACAACGGGAUCCCAGUGGAGACUGAGUAGCUGUUCCUCACCCAGGGGUGCAAAGCAAUCCACCCAUCCCGAUGGGAUGUCCCAUUGCAAAUUCCAGUAGAGGAAGCCUCUCCCAGGCGUGACGGGGUUUGGUAUUCUCAGCAGCACAGCUAGCUAAUCCACGAAGCCAGGGCACACAGAGUGGACUUUGGGGGCUCAGCGGCCAGUUGAUCUGAGUCCUGGAAUGGAUACAACCUGCUGUGUGGCUGUCGGAAAACCAGAGCCAACUGCUUCCCACAUAAGGACAAAGAAAUGGAAAUGCCCUGAAAUCAGCAAGCCACAGACAGGCUUUCAAAAAAAACUUUGUUAGCACCAUUCUGGCCUUAGGUGAGCCUUAGAAGACCAGCCAAAGAAGCAGAGGGCCAAAGAAGCUGGUCCUGCCUUGCUGCUGAGUGGAACUUCCUCUCCCCCUUGUGGUUACAACUGCUUCUGAUCUUCUGGAACAAGUCGUUCACGGUGGUGGUAUUUUAUCAAAACUUGAUCUCUUUCUAAUUUCACAGCCUCCUUGACCCGUCAGCCCUCUCCCCUAACCACCUACCUUCUUAUAUCAGUGCCCGCCCCUCCUCUACCCUGUUCCCCUCUCUAUCCAUCCAUCUGCUCUUUUCAAAAGGGUUUCACCGUGUGGAUGGGGUGCACUUCACUUGGGUACCUGUUUGCAUUUGAUGGCUUUUCUGUAUGUCCUGCAUUCAUUUCCAUUCCAUUUAUUUACUCUCUAGCUCUUUCAUAAACAACAUGAAAUCAAAGCAAUGAACUGGGAAUAAGAAAGAGUUGACGGGAUUGAGGAAGAAGGGAGCGACACAUUUAUGUUUACGUUUAUCAUCACGUUCAUCUUUCUCUCCGCAUCUGUGUGCACCCCACUACAGAUUCAUUACACGGGUGUUAGUGCGCCCAAGCCCGCGGUCAGCACUUGAAGGGAAUAGAGGUAGAAAGAGGUAGAAAGCAUAGCCCUGCUCCCAUGGAACUUCUCAUCUCACAGGCGAAGCACUAAGAAUGUCUUAUAUCUGUAUCACACUUGAUGUGAAGCUCUCACACAGGCAUUUUCCUAUCUGAUUUCUGUAAGCAGAAGAGGAAACUGAGGAUCAGUGAGUUGAAGGACCCUGAUAACAUAGUAGGAGUAUCUGGGCUCAAAUCCCAGUUUCCUGACUCCAGAUUUCAUGUCCUUCCUACUCUGCUAUUAUUCUAACCGAGCUUCCUCCUGACACUUCCCAGAGCUAUGACACGGUGAAGAUGUGUGGCAAUGCCAUGUCCACUGGCCAUGACAAGAAUUGUUGGCUUUAGGGAAAAUGAAAUCAACGAAGGUUGGAGAAAGCAGCAAGGAAAGAUGGGCGGGGGAUGGAGUCCAGAGGAAGAGACAGGACUUGGCCAGAGGGCUACACUGGGGAGUCCUUUCAGACCUUGUGUGUCCUUGUGUGCGUCAUCCAAAGGGCCGUGGAGGAGCUACAGAGAGGCUGUUUUCAAAAGCUUACUGUGGAAGGAGUAAGAAAGAGGUAAUUGUCUUUUCCCUUAAUCUCUGUUUAUACACAUAUAAAUGUAUACAUAUGUAUACUUCUCCUUUUUCCUUAUCUGAUUAUGCCUUCAAAUAGCAAGGAUUUAUUGCCUGCUAAUUUGGUCCAGAUACUUUGAUAAAGCCUUGUGGGAGGACACCAACAAGUAAGAGACACCAUUUCAUUGUUGUUGGAGUAGGUAAUUGAUGAGACAUGACUGCCAGUUGACCUUCCACCUGGCCCCAGGCAAUGAGAGGCUCCUCACGCCUGCCCUGUCCUUGGAAUGUACCUUUUGCUCACAGAGCCCACAGUGGGAGCCAGUUUCAAAGACCAGGCAUGAGAGAGCAAUGUGGUGUUGAGACCAUCUGGAUGGUGUACCGUGACUGAGCCCAGUUAAGGCCUCUUUAUAAACUUCUAAGAUUCUGGUGGGCAGGUGCAGAGAUCUAUUCAUCUUGCUGCGCCCAAGAAAAGCCUCCUCUGUAAGUUCCCUUGCUUGUUAAACCCGCCACCGACCAAUCCAGAGUGGCUACCUCUUUCCCUGGUCUCUCCUUGCCCUCCAUGUUCAGGGGCCAGUUUGUAAAUUAAUGGUUGUCCCCAGGGAGUGGGCAGGGCAGGGGUCUGUGCAUAAUACAAAGAAAGCUCGAGAUUGUGGGAUAUCAGGGGCGUGGCACUGAAAUGUCCUAUUAAGUUCUCUGUACAAAUUGGAUUUCCACGGAGGGAAGGGAUCAGCGUGCAUCGGGAGCCGACAUCUCAUUUCAUCCUAUGAGGUUAUUCUGCCCAUUUUAUAGACAAGAAGACUAAGGCUUCAAGAGGUUAAGUAAACUGCCGUGGUCCCACUGUUGGUGUGGGAAUGAGCUUCCAGUGAGAGUCCAGGGUCACUGAAUCCUGCUGCUGCCCAUGUGCCCCGAGAGGCUGUGGAGGCCUGUGGUCCAGGGUUCAGGUGCUGGUGAGGAGCGGCUGUGUCCUGGAUCCACCACUCACUAGCUCUGUGACUUAAAGCAUGCUCUUUAGCUUGUCUAAACCUUGGUUUGCUGAUCUGUAAAAUGGGGAUAGUCCCAGUACUCACCUCCUAGGGCUGACGGGAGGAUCUGAUGAAUUGAAAUGUGUAAGCACUAAUCAGUAUCUAAGAAAAGCUCAGUAAGCACACCUGUCAAUAUUAACACGGUUAUUAUUACUACAAUAGUCAAAAGGAGACCCAGGUGACGUGGAGCCACAGCCUGUGGACUUGUGAUCUUUUUUUUGUCCCCAUGCCAAAUGGGAAGUGUGCAGUGAGGAAUCAGUGUUUAAACAUGAGAGCAGACAAGCAGUAUUCAUAAGCCAGGGUCCAGGUGGGUACCGCAGACAAGGAGAAAACUCUCACCACUGGGUUUAGGGCCUUUCCCCUGAGAUGGGUGGGGACAGUCUGAUAAGGUCACUUACCUAUCAAGUUCUCUACCAGCCUACAGAGACGUGCUGCUCAAUAAGACAUGCUCCCAUGAGCUGUGGUGCCGCUUGCACCCGUAUUUGGCUGGACCUGUUUCCUCCCUGGAGAAACGCAGAGGCCAGGUGACUCCCAUGGUCCCUUGCAGACCUAUCCCUCAGUAGUUCUGUGGUUGUGUGAACAAUCACUCCGCCGGGUUCCGUCCCAGAGAAGACGCAGCGGUCUUCCCAAAGCUGGAGACCCAGACAUUUUUGCUCCUGGUUCAUGUUAAGUUUAUUUUUCUGUGAGGGCUGCGGGGUGAGGACCAUCUCCCGACAAGGCCAGUGGUCUUGGAGGAUGAACUCCUUACCCCAUUCACCCAGCAGUGCUUCCUACAGGAGCCCCACCCUCUUUCCUGAACACGUGACUCCUACUUCUCUGUCUCUCUCCAGUACCUGCCAACCAAACUCUGAAACCAAAUUGCCAGGCACCUCUAAGGAACUGUAGAUUUUACUGUCCAUAACGGAGCAGGUUCUGUGUGUCAGGUCAGAGUCCUAAAAGUCAGGAGAGACUCAAAAAGGAUUCUGGCUGAUGCCCUUCAUCCACAGAGCUGGCAGGUGGGUGAGAGGCCUGCUGUGAGCACACUGGCCACAGGUCUGUGAUGGGGCUGGCCGUGUGCAGGGGACUAAGGUGGGCUGAGAGUGAAAUUAGCAUCAAAGUUCCAAUCCCAGCCCUGAGGCUGACGUGGAGGCAUUCCAGAACUCUCUCCAGACAUAUCCAACUUUAUUCCUCAAGGUGGACACUUGUGGGGCUUCCCUGGUGGCGCAGUGGUUAAGAAUCCGCCUGCCAGUGCAGGGGACACGGGUUCGAGCCCUGGUCCAGGAAGAUCCCACAUGCCGCGGAGCAACUAAGCCCGUGCGCCACAACUACUGAGCCUGCGCUCUAGAGCCGUGAGCCGCAACUACUGAGCCCAUGUACCACAACUACUGAAGCCCACGCACCUAGAGCCCGCGCUUCGCAGCAGGAGAAGCCACCGCAAUGAGAAGCCCGCGCACUGCAACCAAGAUCAGCCCCCGCUCACCCCAACUAGAGAAAGCCCGCGCACAGCAACGAAGACCCAAUGCAGCCAAAAAUAAAUAAAACUUAAAAAUUUAUUUUAAAAAAAGAUAGACGCUUAUGGUGUGCCAGUAACUAUGUCAAGAAUGUACCUGAAUUGAAUCAGUUCAUGGGAGUUUCUCAACUUCAGCACCAUCACCCUUUGGGGCUGGAUAGUUCUAUGUUGUGUGGGAGGCUAUCCUGUGCAUCGUAGAAUGUUUAGCCUCAUCCCUGACCUCUACCCACCAGAUGCCAGCAGCAUCACUGCCCCUAGUUGUGACAACCAAAAAUGUUGACUCCUGGGGGCAAAAACACUCAAGAAGCACUGAGCGACUCCUAAUGUAGACCAGGCAGGUGGGUGCUAUUACCAU